rnacentral:rRNA from 1 species
UACGGAGGAUCCAAGCGUUAUCCGGAUUUAUUGGGUUUAAAGGGUGCGUAGGCGGCCUAUUAAGUCAGGGGUGAAAGACGGUAGCUUAACUAUCGCAGUGCCCUUGAUACUGAUGGGCUUGAAUGUACUAGAGGUAGGCGGAAUGUGACAAGUAGCGGUGAAAUGCAUAGAUAUGUCACAGAACACCAAUUGCGAAGGCAGCUUACUAAAGUAUGAUUGACGCUGAGGCACGAAAGCGUGGGGAUCAAACAGG